UUUUCCCUCUAAAACCUCUUCCGCAUAAACCUUGUAAAGCCGCUCAACUUUUGAACAAAAUACGCUAAAUUGCCAAAACAAUAUACGCUUGAAAACGGCACCAACCAUCUCCAUCUCCCUAUAUAAUCGCCGAUAAGUUUCUGUCUCUAUCUCUAGGAUUCGAUUGGGUGGGUUAGGGGUUGAUGAAAAAUUACUGUUUGUUGGAUCUAGGGUUUCGAUUAUCGAAGUAUAAUCACCGGCACCAUUUCUAUCGCUGCUAAGUCUUAUUCCCAGCCGUUGCAAUACUAUUUUUUUGGGUCGUUGCUGCUCAAAAAACAGAUUUUAAGAAUUCUUGUUAAUUGUUUUUGAUUGUAUGGAAUUAAGUAACGAGAAUACCUUAUCGUCCUUAAGCUUUACUGGCCAUUAUAUGUGGCAUAUGAAAUUUUAUAGUUUCAGUCGUUGUCCUAUGUUUUUUACAUGAUGUAUCAAAAAUAUAGUAAUAAAGUGUUUUUCUAUCAUUCUAUGCAUUUUGUGCAAUUUGUUGCUUUAUUCUUCACUAAUACUAAUCAUUUAAUUUAGGGAGAUGUAUUAGGAAAAAAUUUCCAUUCUUGAUAGUCCCUGUCGUCUAUUUGAUGUGCGAAGUUUUCAACUUUUUAUUCACUUUAAAGUUUAAACUACACUUUAGCAUAUCUGAUGUGCUUCUUAUCUAGCUUUUAGCAUUUUUGUGCUGAAAAACAGAGAUUGCAAUUUACAAUUGCUUGAACUUUUAGAUUCAUUUAAUUACAGUUUAGAAACCUCUCUGAGAUAUAUAUUGAUAAAUCAUUUUAUAAGAGAUUUUCUUAUAUUUCUGUGAUCCUACCUUUAAAUUUAGCAAUCUUCGAAUAGAAAAAUGUUGCACUCUACUAAAAUAAUAUGUUGGUUUUAGCUUUAUUGUUUGAAGGAAAGGCUCGUAGAUGAUCAGUUUGAGCAUAUCUACAACUUUUUUCAAUUUCGGGUUUCUGGAGAGUAUAUCUUCUAUUACAAAUAUGUGUCUGACUUUCUUCUCAUGAUAUCAUUUUUUUGAUAAGCUAAAGAUUUAAGCAUACAAGGAGGAAACCAGUCAAAUGUCUAAUUUUCUUUACUGUUGCUUAACAAAGUUAUUAAGGCAUCGCUUAACUCUCAGUCUUCUCUUUUUAUGUAGGUUUCGAGAUUGUUACUGGCAUCAUUCUCCUUCACCUUCUUAUCUUCAUCGUCAAAGUAUUCUUCUUACCAGGUCACACAGUCUAAUGUUCGAUAAUUUAGCGGGUGAAAGAUUUCAAAAUGACGAAAAGUUGUGGAAAUCAUUUGAAGACCAUCAUUCGUUUGGAUUAGUUAUAUAAUGAUAUUAGUUAUUUAGUUCAAACAAUAUAAGUUUAUUUUUUAAGUUACUGUGACAUUAAUAUCUUUUAUUAGUACUUCCUUUUGUUAAGAUUUAA